UGAUAAAAACCAUUCUGCUUC
rnacentral:piRNA from 1 species